rnacentral:tRNA from 1 species
CCCGCGGUAGUUUACUGGUUGUGAAUCCUCGGCUUUCAACCGAGAGGUCGGAGUUCAAUCCUCCGUCGCGGGACCA